GCUGGGCUUUGUAACGCAAGCCUGUGACCCGAAGUGGGGGCAUUAAAGGUGGGUCCGAAUUUAUUUGAUAGCCUGCGGGUGGGUGUGGGUGAGUCGGUGGUGGGGCCUUGCUGGCUUGCCAUUCCAUGUCAGGGAAUCGCAUGGUCGCAGAGUGCUGGCCCAACAAAUGUUGUAGCGGCUAGUACAAAGCCAUCCUCUCUAUAUAAGAGGCCUGCCGAUGUUAAGAAUAUUGGGGGCGUAGCUGGCUUAUCAGAGCAGUAGGUGUGCGGCUCUUUCAUCGAGUGGACUAAACGAGCCAGCACUCACUCCUUCCGCCAUGAAGGCCCAAACAAAGACUUCCAUCUUU
rnacentral:SRP_RNA from 1 species